GCACCUCAAAUACACACUGCAGUAUACCUCAGUUCCCUUUACUUUCCUGACCGGAAUCCCUCCUUCCUGAUGACUUUGCCUGGCAAACUCCUUUGCAUUAAAUUUUUUUUUAAUUUAUUAGUUUUGAGAGAGAUGGAAAGCAUAUGAGUGGGGAAGGGGCAGAGAGAGAGGGGGAUAGAGGGUCUGAAGCGGGUUCUGUGCUGACAGCAGAGAGCCCGAUGCAGGGUUCAAACUCACGGUCUAUGAAAUCAUGACCUGGACCAAAGCGGGAUGCUUAAUUGACUGAGCCACCCACGUGCCCCACCUUUGCAUUUUAAAAAACCCAGGUAGGUUCCCCCAAAUCCCUCAAAGGAAGCCUUCUCUUAUGCCUUAGGCUAAGGUAAGUUUCUCUCCUCUGGGCUCCCAAGUGACUUGCACCUGCCUCUGUCAUAGCACUUACCACAGUACAGUGACAUUUACCUCUCUGUACACCCCCACCGUCAUCCCCCUCAAAAAACCCCUAGUUCCUUGGAGGCAACCAGGUCUUACUGAAUUCUGGAGUUUCAGCAAGCUCAGUGCCUGACGUGGAGGAGUGGUGUUUCAUAAGUUUGUGUCAUAAUAAUGAAUUUCUAGGACAUGGUCGUGGCAAUUCUCAAACAUAGCGGACCAGAGGAUUCUGUCUGUGUCUCCCUUUUUCUAAUUUAUUAAUUUUAAAAAGGCCUUAAUUUAUUUUUUAAAAACACUCUAUUGAUGUAUGAUUGACACAUAAAAAGCUAUACAUAUUUAAUGUAGGCAACUCAGUGAAUUUGGGGGUACGUAUACACCCGUGGAGAGAUUCUUUUUACGGAGCAUUUUUAAAAGCUGGUGUUUCAUAAAAUAUAGCUUGAAAAUCCCUGGAUCUUUAAGAUUCCUUCCCAUUAUGGGUUGAAUUGUGCCCCUUCCCCACCCACCCCCGCCCCCCAAAAAAUUUAUGUUGGAGUCCUAACCCUGAAUACCUCAGAACGUGACCUUAUUUGGAAAUAGGGCCUUCAGCUUAAAAUGUGGUCGUUGGGUGUGCCUUAAUCCAGUAUGACUGGUGUCCUUAUGAAAAGGGAAAACUCGGGGCCACCUGAGUGGCUCAGUCGGUUUAAGCAUCCGAGUCUGCUUGGGGUUCUCUCUCUCCUUCUCUCUCUGUUGCUCCCCUACUUGUUCUCUCUCUCUCUCUCUCAAAAUAAAUACACUUUAAAAAAUAAAAUAAAAAGGAAAAAUUUGGAGACAGACACUUGCCCAAGGAGAGCUCCAUGUGAAGACAAAGGCAGAGACUGGAGCAAUCCGGAACCAGCCAAGGGUUGCCUGUAAAUGGCCAGAAGCAGGAGAGGGGUGUGGAAUGGGUUGUCCCUCACGCCCUCAGAGGGAACCAACCCUGUUGAUACCUUGAUCUUCAGCUCCCAGCACUGUGAGACCACACAUUUCUGCUGCUUGAGUCACCUCAUCUGGGGUACUUUGUUAUGCAGCCCUAGCAGACUGAUACACCUUCCAACUGAAAUCUUUGCUCUUCGAUAAUGAUGGUAACAUAGGGAUCUGCUUAACAUCUAGGAGGGCAUACAGGUUCCAAAAAGGGUUCUUAAACAUUCCCUUCUAGAUUGGGAAAUUUUUGCCAAAAAACGUUGACACCUAGAGCGGACGGGCCUAGAAUUCAGGAAGCCACUUCAGCUGUAGGCCCUACGAGGUGGGCAGGAAGGGUCUGGUGGGGGUAAGGGACAUAUUACUACAGGCUGGUAGAAGGAGGGGAGACUCGAAUACAUGCUUCCAGCGUCUAAAAGCUCUCUUUGCUGUCAGCAGGACAGAUUGGUGGGAUCAUGGCGGCCUGCACGUUCUCUCUCAGGAUGCCCACGUCCUUGCAAGACCUCCCUUGCCGUAACUGGCUGCCACCUGCAUAGAUGUGUCUGAGGGAGUAGACGCAGCCUGCACAUGGGAUUCACCACCAAUCUUGGGGGCGUGUCUGCUGACACUGCUUGAGAAUGUCACUCUGGGAUUAGCAGGUGGCUGCAGCAGGCCUGUUUGGACCUGGCAGAUAUCCAGCUCCUCCCGGCUUAGCCUUCCUCUCCUGGGGCUGCACGCCCAGGCUUCUCCUGGGCUGACUGUCUUCCAGAAGGAUGGUCCUCCCUUUUGACGGUAGCCUCAGGUUUAGAGAUCGGGGCCGUGUGUUGUUAUAACUGAUCACCCCACCGGUGGCCCCUACCGUGCUAACAAAUACAGAUCUCUGUUUCCAAGCUUUGCCCUUAUUCUCUUAGGGCAGCACAGGAGUGCUGGUUCCUAGGGUUUGAUUUUGAAGUGUCAGGUGAAGAGGUCCAUGGGGGUUUAAAAGUGAUUUGAGGGUGCCUGGGUGGCUCAGUCGGUUAAGUGUCUGACUUCAGCUCAGGUCAUGAUCUUGCAGUUCAUGGGUUUGAGCCCCGUGUCAGGCUCUGUGCUGACAGCUCAGAGCCUGGAGCCUGCUUCAGAUUCUGGGUCUCCCUCUCUCUAGACUGCCCCUCCCCCUGCUCAUGUUCUCUCUUUCUCUCUCUCUUCAGCUGCCCCACCCCACCAUCUCUCAAAAAUGAAUAAAGGUUAAAAAUUUUUUUUAAAAAGUGAUUUCAGGGGCACCUGGGUGGCUCAGUCGGUUAAGCGUCCGACUCUUGCUUUCGGCUCAAGUCGUGAUCUCACGGUUUUGUGAGUUCGAGCCCCGCAUCUGGAUCUGGCUCUGUGCUCACAGUGCAGAGCCUGCUGGGGAUUCUCUCUCUCCCUCUCUCUCUGCCCCUCCCCCUCUCGUGCUGUCUCGCUCUCAAAAUAAACAAAUAAACUUAAGCCCUUCCAUUUAAAAAUAAAAACAAAGAAAAGUGAUUUGAAAUAAAUGCCACUGACCCGGGUGGCUGUUUAAAAACCCACGCCCUGUUGCGUUUCAUAGACCCCAGAGCUGCGGCUUUGUUGAACUUCAGUUUCUGGCCUCAGUUUGGAUGCCGGCAGUGGGGCUGUGUGUGUUAGGCACGUGGACAAGGUGGCUGGUCCAGACCCCAGCCCGUGGCUCUGUGCUCGCCUCUCGCCCUGCGAGUCCUGGUCAGUCCCUGCCAGCACUGCUUUCCUCCUUUUGCGGUGGAGCAGGCAGAAGCUCUCGCACCUUCCCUCUGCUACCGUGUGUACGUCUCUUCUAAUCAAGCCUUCCGCACCUGGCUGCUUCCUUGACGUGAUGCCCUAUGAAGAGAUCAGACACCGCACAGCGGUGUCGAGCCCCAGAGGCUUAGGACGGCGAAGGGUGGGAUGUAUGGACUGUGCGACCCAGCGGGACAAGCUCCUGGCUUCUUAAAGAUCAGACCUGUGUUUUCUUAUGUGUGUGCCUGCUCUAAGCUGCAGCAGUAAGAUGUCUUCUUACAGAGCACGUUUCUUGGUUCUUUGGAAAGGGAAGCGAGCUUGUUAGCAACAACGGUGAGGUCAGACCCAGCUGUCCCUCCCUCUGGCUGGUGGCAGGCAUCUUCUCUCCACGUCAGAACGGUGGCUUUGCAAGGGAAGAAGACAGGCAUUGCCAAAGGACAAAAAUCUGUUUGCCUUUGGCCCUGGAGAAUGUUAGACAAGAGCUUAUUCUCCUGAAUUGUUUGAAUACUACGGCUAGGCUGCUAGGGGAAAGGUAGGGUUGGAUCUUGGUCUCCUUUGAGUAAGGGCUCAGUAGGGGCGCCUGGGGGGCUCAGUGGUUAGGCAUUGACUCUUUUUCUUUUUUUUUUUUUCAGAUUCAUUAAUUUAUUUUUUAAUUUACAUCCCAGUUAGUUAGCAUGUAGCGCAACAAUGAUUUCAGGAGUACAUUCCUUAAUGCCCCUUACCCGUUUAGCCCAUCCCCCCUCCCAAGGCAUCUGACUCUUGAUCUCGGCUCAGGUCACCAUCUCACAGUUCCUGAGUUCAAGCCCCACAGCGGGCUCUGAGCUGAUGGCGCAGAGCCUGCUUGGGAUUCUGUCUCUCCUUCUCUCUGCCCCUCCCCAACUUGCGUGUGUGCUCUCUCUCUCUCUCUCAAAAUAAAUAAUAGACUUAAAAAAGAAAAAAGAUUAAGGGCUCAGUACAAGUGCAAACAUUAUUACAGUCAUCAAAUAGAUUAUGGCCAUGGCAGUGUCUAGAUCUUGUUGAUAUGCAUAUUAGUUCCUGAAUAUUCGCAUAUUAGCAUAAGUGAGAAGUGGUACUCAUGGAACAUCAAGAAAUCUGGUCCUUUAUGGAGACAGGAGUGCGGGCUUGGAAUGCUGCCAGACUUCUCCUUUACCAGAAUGCUAACGACCUCCCUCCUCCCUCUUCCUCCACUUUGCCUUUUGCCAGAGGCUGAGCUCUGUUUCUUUGCCCGUGUUUAAUCCCCUCUACCGUGCAGGUAAGCUGGUCUGUUACUGCAUUACUGACAAUAAAUGUGCUGUUGUAGGAAGGCUGGUAUUUGUAUUAUUUAUCAAGUUAGGUUUAGGGGAUUCACUUGAUAAUUAGAGGAGGUUGAUUUUUCUAGUGGAGCUGAGACGAUGCAAUUCUUUUGCACGAAGUAUGAAACUGAAGACAAGUCUAAAUUCAAAUAUCUUCUCCUUUCCUCUUGGCAUGUGUCUCUCUCUGUGGGACCUGUCAGUUCCGUGUGCCGCAUUUCAUUAAAAAAAAUGUUUUUUAACGUUUAUUUAUUAUUGAGUGGCAGAGAGAGACAGAGCGUGAGCAGGGGAGGGGCAGAGAAAGAGGGAGACACAGAAUCUGAAACAGGCUCCAGGCUCUGAGCUGUCAGCACAGAGCCCCACACAGGGCUCAGACCCACAAACUGUGAGAUCAUGACCUGAGCCGAAGUCUGAUGCUUAACCGACGGAGCCACCCAGGCACCCCUGCCGCAUUUCAUUUUGAAGAGAUCGUGUCAUUUGCAGUGAUCUCAGAUUUGCUGUUUCCCCCACAGCUUUUCGCCCAAACCCUCACCAGCUCAGAAAUCGGGGCAAAGCCCCUAUGUGUGCUGUGGCAACAGGAAUGUGUGAGGACAGAGGAGAGCAAAUUUCUGUGUUGGUGCUCACGGACCUGCGGGUCGGAGACUGCCUCAGAAUACAGAAAGAAACUUGGGCCCCGAGUGGUUUUAGGGUGCUUGCCUGAGGUCACAGCUAGUUUGGAACAGAAAUGGUCAGUGAGAUAAGUCUGGUCAUUUCCAUGACACCAUGGCCUUAGUCACUUUUCCAUGAACAAGAGCAAACCAUUUGAACCCAGGGAUGGACAGUGCGGCCACUGGGGUGCAUGCAGAUUCUUACCCUUUCACCUCCCUGCCCGAUGAGCUCAUAUCAAACAUGUUUGUACCCCAUUUUGCUCCUCAUUAUUUAAAAAAUAUUAAAAAAAAAAUUUUUUU